AACGAACGCUGGCGGCAUGCCUAACACAUGCAAGUCGAACGAGACCUUCGGGUCUUGUGGCGCACGGGUGCGUAACGCGUGGUAACCUGCCCUUAGGUUCGGAAUACCUCCCCGAAGGGGGUGCUAAUACCGGUUAAUGUCUUCGGACCAAAGAUUUAUCGCCUUUGGAUGGGGCCGCGUUGGAUUAGCUAGUUGGUAGUGUAAAAGCCUACCAAGGCGACGAUCCAUAGCUGGUCUGUGAGGAUGAUCAGCCACACUGGGACUGAGACACGGCCCAGACUCCUACGGGAGGCAGCAGUGGGGAAUAUUGGACAAUGGGCGAAGGCCUGAUCCAGCAAUGCCGCGUGAGUGAUGAAGGCCUUAGUGUUGUAAAGCUCUUUUACCCGGGAUGAUAAUGACAGUACCGGGAGAAUAAGCUCCGGCUAACUACGUG
rnacentral:rRNA from 1 species